CAUCAGGUUGUUAUUCCACUUAUUUUUGCAUUCAUUGGUUGAUUCUUGGGUGUGCCCUGACCAGGGAUGGAACCUAAAACCUUGGCUUAUAGGAAUGUUCUGACUAACUGAGCUACCCAGCUAGGGCAAACAUCAACUAUUUUAACAGGUACUUCAGAUAAUUCUGAUGCAGUUGGUCCUCAUCUGACUGUGAGAAACAUUUAAUCCCAUUUCUUUAACAUUCUCCUCUCUGUAUUUGAAAGCAGGAAGUCUGGUUUCCAUUGUGACUGACUUUGGCCUAGAGCAUCCAAAGCUCAUUUAUAUCUCUUCCUCAUGAUAAUAUGGUUUCAGUUCUAUACAUGAUCCUAAGUGAGAAAUUAAGCCUUGCCCAGAGAAUACGAUAUUUUGAUAAACUAUGGUAUCUGGAGGUAGUUUGACAGCACAGAGUAGAUCAUUACGAUUUUUACCUCUGGAGAAUGUAUUUCAAUUAAUGUAGCCACAUAAUGUUUACCUACUCUAGCCCAUAGUUUAUUAAAAUAUUUAGGUCUUUUUUACAUGUCCUGCUGGUAAGCCAAAUCCCAACAUAUAUUUAUGCAAUUUUUUUACCAACUCCCGGUAUUUUGCAAUUGUACCCUGUUUUCUGUUUAUAAAUGUAAUAUUGCUCAUUGUAAAAACUACAGGAAAAUAUGAAGAAACUGAAUAUUGACCAUUAUACCAUACCCAAAGGCACUACAAUCCUAAAAAAGAAAACCAUUUUUUAUUGAUUUUCAGAGAAAGAGGAAAGGAAAGAGAGAAACAACCUGUUGUUCCAGCCAUUUAUGCACCCAUUGAUUAAUUCCUGCAUGUCCCCGUACUGGGGAUGAAACAUGCAACUUUGGCACCUGAAGACAAUGCUCCAACCAACUGGGCUACCCAGCCAGGGCACGUACUGUCAUCUUAAUUAUAUCCUUUUAUUCUUUAAUAGGCAUGUAAAUCUUUUUUAUUAAAAUGGGACCAAAAUAUCAAAAUUAAAAAAGUAUUAAGUAUUUUUCAUGUUAACGUAAAAAUACAUAUUUUUAUUGUCCUCAGUAUACCAUUUCAUUAUAUAGAUUCACAAUAUGUGAUUUUAUUACACUAGACCUAGCUGAUCAACAUUUAAAUUGUCUCCAAGUUUCCCCUCAUAAGCAACACCACAAUAAACAUUGUGAUAUAUA